rnacentral:rRNA from 1 species
UACGAAGGGGGCUAGCGUUGUUCGGAAUUACUGGGCGUAAGCGCACGUAGGCGGAUACUUCAGUCAGGGGUGAAAUCCCGGGGCUCAACCCCGGAACUGCCUUUGAUACUGGGUAUCUCGAGUCCGGAAGAGGUGAGUGGAAUUCCGAGUGUAGAGGUGAAAUUCGUAGAUAUUCGGAGGAACACCAGUGGCGAAGGCGGCUCACUGGUCCGAUACUGACGCUGAGGUGCGAAAGCGUGGGGAGCAAACAGG